rnacentral:rRNA from 1 species
GUGGGGAAUUUUGGACAAUGGGCGCAAGCCUGAUCCAGCAAUGCCGCGUGCAGGAAGAAGGCCUUCGGGUUGUAAACUGCUUUUGUACGGAACGAAACGGUCCUGGUUAAUACCUGGGGCUAAUGACGGUACUGUAAGAAUAAGCACCGGCUAACUACGUGCCAGCAGCCGCGGUAAUACGUAGGGUGCGAGCGUUAAUCGGAAUUACUGGGCGUAAAGCGUGCGCAGGCGGUGCUGUAAGACAGGCGUGAAAUCCCCGGGCUCAACCUGGGAAUUGCGCUUGUGACUGCAGUGCUGGAGUACGGCAGAGGGGGAUGGAAUUCCGCGUGUAGCAGUGAAAUGCGUAGAUAUGCGGAGGAACACCGAUGGCGAAGGCAGUCCCCUGGGCCUGUACUGACGCUCAUGCACGAAAGCGUGGGGAGCAAACAGGAUUAGAAACCCGAGUAGUCC